rnacentral:lncRNA from 1 species
AAUUGAUGUCUGAGAGCCAGACUGAUGAUGUUGUAUGUUUUAUCUUAGAUGGGAUGGGUCUAUCAGAACAAAGCAAGGCUUUGAACACCUUGAGACAGACACAGUGUUAAGGCCCCUCAGAAUUUAUGAAAGUUAAUGAUGAAAAGCACUUCACCAGCAUCAGUGUUUCUGUAACACUGACCACAGGCCUCACAUCAUUCUGUGUGAGGGUGCACCGUGUCAGACAUGUCUGCGAAGUAUUCAUGUCUGGCAAUUUAGAGUAAAUAUUGCAUCAGUAUUUUUAAAUGUCUGGCUCAAUAUGUGAGAAUCUCCAACACAAAUUCCUAAGCUUAAAAUGAACCUUCUCCAGGAGAGCUAAAUGUAGUGCAUUGCGUUAGAGAUGGGAAAAAACGCCAAUGUGGGGACUUAGAAAAAGCCAGUUUGGAACAAAGGUGCCUAGAAUGCAGGAACGCUUGCCCCAGACACUACAUUUGCUCUGUUCUGAGACUUACUGUUCAAGAAGGAGCACUACAGAGCUGGCGGGGACACAGAAGAGAGCAGGAGGAGAGGAAAACACUGAAGAAAUAAACACUGUUAAGGAACUGAUUCUGAAAUCUUUCAACUGAUCGUUCCAGGCACUGGUGCAGGAUAUGAAUUCAAAAAUAUUCAGUUCUGUGGGAAAGGGGGGUGGUAGCACUACAGAUACCAGGGGUCGCAGCCCUGCGCUGUGCACCAGCUUUCCCUGACUCCAAACGCAGGAGAGCAGAGACACCCCCCCCUCCCCAUCCCCAUCUUUCUCUGUUCAGAUACUGCCCCUCAGCAGCAUUUAGUUUUGGGUUGCCUCUAUGGAUAUGCAUGGAAAGCAGCUUCUUCCACACGGCAGAUAUCUUCUCGCAAGAAACAUCUUGUUCUGGGAGGAGUCUUUUUGACAGUGUUCAGGAGCUUAACUGUAAUCUGGCAGCUCAUGGGGACAACUGGUGUGGUGGUACGUCUUCCUGGGAAACAUUCUGAGCAAGAUGCUGGAGGAGCUCAGCAUGCUGAGCAGGAGCAGCCUCAGGUGGUGCCAAUCUAUGUUAAAAAUAAGUCACAGCAUUGUCAAACUACCCCAGUAACAGGCAGAGCUAGCUCCACGCUGAGACAGUAAGAUAGCAUAUGGCUCUGGACAUAUGUGUUCUAUUUUAUGACCCCUUCACUAUUUUUUGAUAGAUAACUGUAGAUAAAUUGUGGAUGUCUUUCAGUUCCAUUAGUUCAACUGAAACCAUUGAAUAAAAAUGCACUUUGAAAAUAUUUUUCAAAAUUGGAACGCCCUUUCAAAGAGCAGAAUUAAAACAUAAAAGAUUGUAGAUUAAAAACACAUGAAAUAAACAGCUCCUGUUCUCC